ACCGAGAUCGGACACCGGAGAGCAGGCGUCUUCUGUCACGUAAAGUAAGGCCGAUCUCCGGCCACCCGGCGAGGCGGAUGACAGCAGCGUCCUUGUAGGCAGGCUGGCUGGAGUGUUGGGCUUCAGGAGACGCGGAGGGGAACCGGAGUAGAGAUAUAUGAGCUCUUUGAAAGCAGAACACUGUUGUUUCCAUGUUCUGAUCAUUCAGAGAUUAUGAAGGCACAGUUCCUGCCUUUGAUUUGCUUACUGUCAAGCGGAGUAGACACAGGUCAUGGUGGCAGUAUAGCCACUUAAGUAUUCUGAAGGAGAUUUAUCAGCAGGUUGCAGGUGAACAUGGCCUUGAGGUCUUCUGCUAUAGUUUGAACAAGCCCUGCCAGCCCUCACAUGGAGAGCAGUGAGAGGCCGAAGAGCGGUGGCUGGAUGAAACAAGUAUUUGGUGUGCACGUGUUAGCCCUUGGGGAUUGAGUGAUGAACAAGACAGAUACUGUCCUGCCUUCAUGGAAUUAGGUGUUACAAAGAUCAUUUCAAAAUUAAAGAGGGUAAGUACCAUGAAGUAGAGGAGCAGGUUUUUAGAAACAGUGUUCGGUGGGAGAAACCUCACCGGAGUGCCACUGACUACUGGGAAAACAGGAGAGGAGAAGGCUGCUGAGCACGGCACGUGGCUACCCUGGUUCUCUUUGUGGGUGGCCUCCUGCCUUCUUACGCCUGUUCUUGGCUGACUAAUGAAAUGUCACAAGUGCUGGGGCGCCUGGAGCCACUAACACUUAUGUAUCUCUUCCCUCCUUCUCCCCCAAGCUCUGUAGGCCUUGGGGACUCAGAUACUUUGCUUAUGCACAGAUAGACCAAUACAGUUUGACAACCUGAAAGACCUUUGAGUUCAUUUAGUCUGAGCCGUCAUUUUACAGCCAGAACUGACUAACCUAGCAUCACACAGGUGGCAGCACACAGGAUCCAAGUCAGGUGAAAUGAAUGCCCCCACAACAGUCUGGCAGAUAAACAACAUGAACCAUAAAUGAUGAGCUGGGUGCAUGGUGCUUGAAUGCCAAGUUCAGGCAGCUGAGGCGUGAGUGGCUGGGAGAGGGGUAGGUACAGAAAAGAGACAGGAAGCUGGGCAUCAGAAUGGUCUAAUAGAAAGUGACGCGCUUUGGCAUUGAAAUGCCAUUGUGUAUCUUUAGACAUCCAGGCUUUUCCAAAGAAAAACAGGGAUGCACAAAUAGGUGAAGCUGACAACUGAACGUGUACAGAUGCUGAGAAAUGUCCACGUUGAAAAAUGACAAUUUUGAAUUUUCGUAAUCUAAUAGAAUUCCAAUCUUCCUUGGGGAAACCGUUAUCCUUAUAUCUGGAGUCAUCUUGUUGUGUAGAAAUUCAUACUUAUGCCUAAAGAUUAAACGUUGAUAUAACAAAGCUUCAGAAAUUCUGUAGAUGGGCUGUUUACAGAACAUUUUCAAUUUUCAAAUACUCCUGUAAUUAUAUCAUUUUCUUUUAUUAAAUGACUAUCAAAGUAACAGGCCAUUUCUCAAACUAUAUAUCUCUUUUCUAAAACGUGUCCUAAGAAACUUAUAUUUCAAAACUCUGUUUUUGAGCAGCCACUUAACCGCAGAAACUUAACAUACAGUAUCAUAAACUCAUAUUGCAUCAAAAUUUGUAUAGAAAUACGUUUAAAAAUGUGGAUUUCAAGGUUCAGAUGUGUAAAUCCCUUGUAAUAAAGACAUUUGAAACAGGAAACCUCAUGAUCUUUCAUGUAAUAAAUUGGGCCUUUUGGUAUAAUCUGUGCACAAGUACUCUGAGGCAUCCCUUUCCUAAACUUUCAAACUAAGGGGGGCACCUGGGGGCCUGUCACCACUCAGUAUUGUAUAGCACCAGCACCCUCUCAUGAAGGCAGGGUACUUCUUUGUGCUUUGAAAAUGGCCGAAACCAAAGGCGGCCACAGGAAUUUCCUAGCUCUGCCCCCUAUGGAUGUUUGAAGUUCUGUGUGCCAGCAUGCUGGUCCACAUGGCUGGGGUGAACGCUUAGAAUAUGAUCCAGAUGUGUCGGAACAAACCAGCCUCUUUCCAUCCCAGUGCACCUUGUUUUUUUCUUAACUGAGCAGUCAACAGAAACUGAAUGAGCCCUUCCCUCUACUUUCCCUCUCACCACCAAUACAGUCUAAGACUAUGAACCAAAAAAUACGAGUCCUCCACUGUUAAGAGACACACACAAAUACCACCACCCACCCCCCUUCCCCGGACAUCUUUCCAAGGUGAGACUACAAACUUCUGCUCUAGCACUGGGCUUUUCACCCUUCCUUUUUCACUCUGUCUUGUGUUCCCACCCUUCUGUCUUUUAACCUCACCUCUCCCACUCCACACAGACUCCUCGUCAUCCUAUAUGCGCCUUCAGUUGUUCCCUGCCCCUUGUUCUUAACCAACUAGGAGAGGAGACUGAUUUUUUUAGUCUUACUUCAGGCAGAAUAUCCAAAAACAGUAUGUGGCUCAGUGAACGGGAUUUCUUUCAUUCCUCAAGCUGGGCUUAAUAGAGCUGAUUUUAGUUUUAAUAUCUUACAGGAGGAAAGUUGCUCUUCUCACCUUUGCUUAGGCAUGACAACAUUUAACUAACCACGAUGGAGGCUCCUGGGCACAAAACAUUGGAUGAAACAAUAGGAUUCAGCAAGUCGAGGAUCAGAGGCCCCAUAGUACCCACGGUACUGGGAAACUGGUGUGGUAAAAAUUUUUGCAAUUUUUGAGAUGGAGAGUGGUUGCACCCAUGGCCUUCUAAGUCUGAAAUGUCUACUAGCCUGGGCCUCAUGGAUUUUCCCAGCUUUAUGGAACUACUCCAGUAGAGGAUAGAAUGCUUAGCGACAGAAGCAAACCGGAAUUAACCAUAACCAUUAAGCCUCUGCCCACAUCUACUAAAAAAGAUGGAAUUGGGGCUUCAAAGCAAACUAUUCAUUUAGUAACAAUGAAGUUGAACAUAAGUGCAAAACCAAUCACUUAGUGGUGAAAAAUGCUGUCUUUGGAGCCAGACUGCCUGGGUUUGAAUCCAAGCUCUGAAUCCAUGCUGGUUAGAUUAUUGAACUGCUGUGGGGCAUAGCUUUCUUAUCUUUAAAAUGGGAUAAUACAAUUGUGGGAAGUAAACGAGAUAGUAUGUGUAAGAGUGUAGAACAGUGCUUAGCGUAGAAUAAGUACUCCAUGAAUUUUAGCUAUUUUAUUGGAAGUACCCAGAGCUGCUUUCUCUUUCCAUCUGGACUUUAAGGAAGGGGGCUGGAAAUGAGUCCUGAAAUAUCUUAGCAUAUUUUAGAAAACAUAACGUGGGCCUUAGUUACUACUAGUGGAAACCUCUCGCUCUGUUCUUUUCAAAGCACCUUUUAAUCUUGGGUAUCCAGAUUUCACCUUACCUUGAUGAUGCAAAUGUGUGCCUCAUGCACCAGGAGAGGCGGUUUGCUCCCAGGUCUUCCUGUUUAGGGACAUCUUCAAAGGCCACACCCACCGUGUAAUCCAAACACUCGUCCACCUCCACCUCCCAGUAAUGGCGCCCUCGGACUGGAAUUAGGUCUCCCAUGACAGCAACACACCUGGUUUUAGAAAGUAGAAGCAUCUGUGAUUUGGGGUGACCCAAGCCUGGCUGUGCAGCCAGGUGGGUCUCCUGGUUCCUCCAGUACAGGAAGCUCACGCCUGCCCAGGGGCCAGGUGCUGCCUCCAUCCACUGUCUCAGGCCUCAACCCUUCCCACGCAUCAGGUGUCAGUUCAGACGUCUACUCUUCCAAAGACAACCAAUCCCUCAAUGCAUCCUUGGGCUUUGGAGAUGGAAGAGGCAGCCCAGAGUGGACAGGGAUGGGAAGGCCAAACCCCCCAACCGUGAGCCUGAAGCAACCGGUAUGUCCGUUCCUGCUUUGACCAAUCCACACAAGCUAGAGGAGGUGGGGUUGGUGACAGCAAUUCAGGCUGGGGUAUGGUUUGUAAGUCCUGACCUAGGGACAGGUCCUCUGACCCUUCGACGCCAUCCAAAGAGGCAGGACAGCCAGGACCACAGCACUACUGCCCUCAGCCCUGGAGUGAACAGAUGAGUGAAAGAAGCCUUAACAGGGAUGCCUUGCUUUUUCCGGGGGACCCAUCCAACAACCGUCUCCUUCAUUAUGAUGAGAGAAGAUUGGGUUUGGCCAAAUUGUGCUUUUCAGAACCAACUUCUUUAGAGUCCAUCUACUGAGUUAAUUCUUUUCUUCUCUGUAGGUUAAUAUUUCUGCCUCCCCAAGCCCCACACAGGCUCACCCACAACCAAGAAACACUCCUUGUUUUUCUUCCAUAAUUCUCCAAUGGCAGCACCUCCCUCCAUCCCAAGCUUUCAAGAACAUCCUUAUUUUCAAAUUCUGAAAUUGUUCAGUCCAGGUAAGACUUAAAAGAAUGAACUCAGCCUUUCCUUGCUGGUUAGGGGCUGGAAGACCCUAACAUGACAAAGGUGAGAAGAGAAAGAACAUGUAUCCCCACGUGAUGGAGUUCAGGAUGCACAGAAGAUGCCUUCUAUACCCUGCAGAGAACAGCCCCAUCAGGGGAUGCAGUAAGAAGAGGGAUGGCUCCAGAUGGAAGCAGGAGGGUGAUGGUCUGCAUGGGACCUGGACACAGGAGGAUGAGGAAAAAUCUCCAUGUUUCUCAAGCGCUGACUUGGGCGAUAGUGCCUUUCCUUCCAAAAGACUGGGCCUGAUUACUUGGGCAACACCAUCCCUAGACCAUCCAAAGGACUUCAUAGCUCAGUGAAAUCUCCCCUUGACCCACCAUCAAAGUUUCUAACUCAAAGCUCAGGGAAGCCGGUGUGAAGUAUGCACACAAGUGAGAUACGCACCUGGGAUGGUGUUAAUGGAGCCCAUAAGCUCCUCCACGUCAGAGAAGUCCAAGGUCUGGUCUUCAAAUUCAGGCUGCGCUGAGAUUUCCACAUCUGUUUUUGUUUUCAGGAAUUUUCCAAGUCUGUGAGUAUAAAAAGACACACUAAUGAGAAUGGAGGGGCAUUCUCCUCAGGGGUCACUAGUGAUAAGCAAUGAGGGCCUCUUAGAUGAACUUUUAUUUCCUUAUUUUAACAUGCUGCGGGCUGCCUGCUGGCAUCUGCUUCAGUGACUGACCUACGAGGUCACCCACGGGGAUGGGCAGGUUGGUUUACGCCUUUGAGGAGAGGAGAAGGGGUGGGGUCAUGUCAGAGGGUAGGGGGCGGGAGGAUGUCCACCUAUGAGCCCCAGAUCCACACCUUCUGGAAGAUCCUCCGAUGCUGACCUGGGAGUUCCCACCACACAUCACCCCAGGCCCCAAAGACAUACAGCCUCUCUGGGGCUCCUUCUCCACGUGGUCAAGUGCCCUCAAGUCGAUGACCGUGGACCGGGGCUCUGGGUCUCCUGCGCAUGCUCCUGGCCGUCACAGGGUUUGUAAGUAGCAGAGGCACAAUUUGUAACCAUGUCUGUCUUUUGCCAAAACUCAUGCUCUUAACCCUUAUAUUAUUAAGCUUCAGUGUUCGUGUUGCUUUACAGACAUUGUCUGAUUUUAUUCCCAUAAAGCUAUCCCUGUUUGUAGGUAAAGAAGGUGGGUCCUAGACUGGUUGGACUUGCCCAAGGUCAUGGGGGUAGCAGGAUUUAAACUCCAGUGUGACUCUAUAACGUGCAUGCUUUCUGCAGCACAUGGUCUGGGCCCUGGCCCCGCUGGGGGAUGCUGGGGAUGAUCUCUGUUCCUCCUGCUGAAAGGAGGGACUCAGAGAGGAAAUCUGACCCUGGGCUUGCAGGCUAGGCCUCAUCAUAAGCUCCCUUCCAGCUCUGAGAUUCUAAGAUUUGGUACUAGAGGGCCCUUGUGAUCCCAUACUGUCCUUCCAAAGCCAGUGCUAUUUACUCGUAGGGGCAGACACAAAAGCUGAAACUGGGAGCAUAUAACCAAGUGGAACUGAUAUCUAGUUGGAUAUCUAGAGGUAAAAGGAACAGAAAAAGAAAAUACAUGUCAGAACAAAAGUAUUACCUGUCAGCCAUAGCCACAGCAUCCUAAAAAGGAGGAGAAAGAGAAAAAAUAUUGAAUUGAAUUUGGAAAUAAAUUUCUUUUUCAAACUAUAUAAUAAUAUAAACAUAUGUUAAAACUUGGAAAUGAGUAAAAGAGAAAAAUCAGCCAUGUCCCAAGCCCUAACAAAAAUGACUCUUAUGACACCUGUAUAGUUUCUUCCCGUUAACAUUAUGUGAGCACUUUCCAGGUUACAAAUGGUCUUCUGGAUCAUCAAUUUGAAAGACUGUGUAACAGUUAUUGAAUAGACACUCCAUCGUUCACUCUACUGUUGGACAUAUUAGUUUUUUCCAAUUUCUCACCAUCAUAAAUAACAGAGAAGACGUCUUCAUAUAUAUCACUUUCUCCACAUUCUGGAUUAUGUCACUAAGCUACAGUGAUAUUGAGGAACCAUUGGUUCAAAAGGUCUGAGUAGUACUGAGGGCUCUGAUGAUGCCUGCCCACCUGCUGUCCAGCUUGGGUCACGGCUCCCUGGCCACCCCAAGCACGGCAGGAAGCAGGCGCUGUUGGGCUUGGAGGGACCACUGUGGCGUGGCCAAUGUAAAGGCUGUAUUUGGUAACUAGGAAGCUCUGGAGGCUGAGGGCCCCUCCCUCACAUACUGGACCCCACUGCUGCCCCAUAUUCCUGUGGGACCUUGUAAAGAAAGGAGACCCCAGCUCUGAGCUUGAAAUUCCCACAGUCUGGCUACAUGGGGACUUGGGGUCAAAUUGAAGUGGAUUUCAAGGGUAUCAAGAGAUGGAUUUUUUUUUUGCAUGUCUGAGCCUAUGAAGUGAGAUGUAUAGUGGCUGCACUUGUAACUGGGAGACAGGAGGUGCCUUUUUAGCCUGGAGAUCUUUCUCCCCAGACCUCCAGGAGGCUGUCUGAGAUGGCCAGAAAAGUUUCAGAGCACUGUUUUUUGUUUGUUUUAAUUUUUGGCUGCGGCAUGUGGGAUCUUAGUUCCCCAACCAGGGAUCGAACCCGUGCCCCCUGCAUUGGAAGGCGGAGUCUUAACCACUGGACCGCCGGGGAAGUCCCCUCAGAGCACUGUUUUUGCCCCACUUCACGAUGAGGGCACAGAUCUCUGGGUAACCGGGACAGAGGAACAAAGACUCUGGUGUUAGCCAAGCAAUGGUGGAGGGAAGGGUCAGCUGUGUAUGAGCCUGCUCAGCCACUCAUGGCGAAGCUGUGCAGAGAGACGAAGGAUUUAUCAUCAUGGUGAUACAUCCAGUGGAAUCAAAUGGAUGCUGACAGUGAAAGUUGGUUCCAACAUCUCCAGGCAGAGAGAGGACAAUCUAACCUACUCUAAUCAUAAUUGUCAUUGCAGUUCAUUAUUUCACUUCAUUACUGACCUUAAUGAAAUCAACUUUCUCUUCAUGACACAUCUCCUCUAUUGUUUCCAUCAGUUCUUUGCAGGUUUCAAGAUUUUCUCCACAGCUGACCAGCUGUCCAUACAAGGCUUCCAGCUUCUCUUUCUUUUUCUCCCCUAGAGCUUGUAUUUUUUCUUCGUAUUUUUGAGCAAGUGUUUCCAAGAUCUCAUUGUAAUGUGACUCAAAGUUUUUUUCUUGUCUUCCAAAAUUCUCCUGCAAGAUAUAGUUGAUCUCAGCCAUCAUUUCACUGCAUGUAUGUUGACUACAGAGUUAUUUGGGGCAUGAAAAUGUAUCUAUCCAGAGAUGUUUUAGUCCCUCCCUGUUGUCUUAACAUCGCUUGCCAGGGUGCUGAGGUGGACAAAAGGGUAGCUAGGACCAGGAGUCUCCAGCUAGAACCCCAGCAAUAAUCUUAACAAGAAUUACUGCUUUCUCUGCUGGCCACAUUUUGCAGUCCUCUUCCCCAUACCCCACCCACUUCUGUUUUAGCCACCUCCCAUCACCAUGACAACCGACCAGGAAGAUUACCAGUGAUGAGUCAGCCUGCCACUGGAACUUUGGACCUUAACAUGGAGAUGUCUGCCUUGGGAGAAUCCCACCUAUCUUUCCCUCCUGAGCUCUCAACAUCUCGUAACACUCACCUCCACUCCCUGAUGCUUGGACUAUACAAACAUCAGGAUCACCCAGAUUCUCAUAUCAACUAAGAAAAAGGUGCAGGGGAAGGGGAACAAGCCAAGCCGGGUGGUGCUGCCUAAUAGAUGAGAAAAGGCAGGAAGGCAGAGAGAGGGUUGUGCCAGUACUUAAUCCUGGAACGCAGUGGGUAAGAAACAUUAAUUAAACCAUAUCAAAUCCUGGUCCCCGUAAAUUAGAUUGGAAGCCCAGGAGAGCUCUGUGGGUUCUGAUUUAUACCAUCCUUAUUAGAUAACAGAGACAUUUCCAAAGAAGAGGCUCUUAUCAAUCAUUCACGGAGUAUUUACUGAGCACCUACUGUGUACACAUUCUAAGACUUGCUCAGAAUGGUGGAAGAGAGGGAAAAGCAAUAGGUGACCCCCACCAGUGUUGAGUGUAAAAGGAAGAGCUUAGAGUCCUCUCUGAGGGUGAAGCUGCUCUGAUCUGAGAGUGAGCUGGCAGUACAGAGGGUAGGGAGUUCUGUCCUGGCUGUUGUAUACUUGCCCUCCUACCACCCACCACCCUAUGUUUAGAUGUGGAAGGGCUUCUUGUCCCUUCUCUGUGCCUUCCAUAGGGAAUUAGUGGAAUAGCUGCCCUCCCUUUUAAGACUGGGGGUGGGGAGGAAAGUCUAGCUUCACGGGAAGGGGGCCCAGGGCUUAGUUCAUUCCUAUGAGUUGCUCCUGUUGGUACAAUCUGAGGCUGCAUUAAUAGAAGGAGAGCAUCCACAUGAAGAGAGGGGAAGUCCUCUGGUCCUUAUGUCUGGGCUAUCUCAUCUGGAUGGCUAGGUUGCAUGCUGGCAUCACAGCAGUGGACUUCACACCUACUAGGCACACCCAGGGGACCAUGACAUGUUUGGUGACAGGCACAGAAACUUACUGAUCUUGUGAGAAAUAGGUAACAGCCGAGGAACACUUAUCAAUGACAGGAUGGGUGUCUUGCAAUGCCUUAUCAGGCUGGCCCAUGGAAGAGUCCUACCUUGUAGUAGGACCGGAGCUAUAAAGACACCAAAGACCCAGCCCAUGAGAGCUAAUAGUUCAGUAAGGAAUGCUGCCAGGUAAUCAUUUCCAUAGCUGCAUGCCCACUGUGCUACAGGAGGGCAGAAAGGGGUGAGGGAAGAGGAGCAGUACUGACACCAUAUGUUCCAAGAAAACAGAUUCCCUAACUCAUACCAGACACAGCUGAUGGAAGCAAUGUGUAUCUGACUGGGUCAUCAAGCGUGCUCUUACCUCCACCGUGAUGAAAACCUCCUCCAAGUGACUUGCAAAAUUUUCCAUCUCAAUAAUCUGCUUUUCCAAUUUGUACAUGUUUUUGUGAAUUUCAUCCUAUCAAACAAAGGAUCCCAAGAAGACAUUAAUGCUAUGUUUUCUCUCUCUCUCUCUUUUGUAGAAGGCAUUUUAGAUUUAUUCCCUGCCUACAUACUUGAGAUUCAAAUGCAAUAUCCAGAGAAAGGAGGACUAGGGCGAUCUAUUUACCUUGGCACUUUCCAGUGCUUUACCGAGCGGGGUCACCUCAUGCUCCUUGUGCUCAACAAGAACCUUCCCCGACGCUCUUAUUGGAGUUUUGCAAGUGACACAGAAGACAUCGGCAGCUUCUUCCUCGUCCUCCUCCUCUGGGAUAACGUAGCACUCAUACUCCUCACUGGCAUGGCCGUGGGUGUACCGAUAGGCUUCCCGCAAGUCCUGGCACUGGCCUGCCGAGCCCCAUGCCCCGAAGCCCAGGUCCUCAGCCUUCGCAGCCUCGCCACUAAGUCUCCAGUCUCUCCGCUCCCUCAGUGGCUCUCUCCCCAUCAUCAUAUAAGGAGGAUACUCUGAAACCUCUAUUCUGGGCGUGCUUUUGUCAAUAAACUCAUACCCUAAUUCGUGAUCAUCUUCAAGUCCAUAUAGAUGGACAAGUUCAUCCACUUCCUCUCCAAGGUCUCUCUGAGCCUUCCCUAUCAUGGGCUGUCUUGGCUCAUUGGUCAUUUCGGCUUGAACUACUUCUCUUCUCAUCUGAGUGUCUUCUUCUGGGAAGAUCUGCAGUCUGUCUUCAGAGUCGUACAGAUCCAUGUGACGAAAGUGAAAGUCCUUGGAAGCAGCGGGCCUGCCCAGCCCUGGUGCUUCUCCCGCCUCCCCCUCCAUCGUAGCUCUGGGCAGCACUUCUGCACAAGCAGGAUUCUUCCUGGACAGUUCUUAGUGGACACCCUGGAUCCUAGAACACAAAACCCCAUUUAUGAGAAGGUCGUUGCAGUAGAUGGUCAUUAGAUUGGGCUCAACUUAUUCACAAUUAAAAAAAAAAUCAUCUGAGCA